rnacentral:rRNA from 1 species
AACGUAGGUGGCGAGCGUUAUCCGGAUUUACUGGGCGUAAAGGGUGUGCAGGCGGGCUGUUAAGUGGUGCAUGAAAUCUCCGCGCUUAACGUGGAGAGGCUGUGCCAGACUGGCAGUCUAGAGUACGAGAGAGGGUUGUGGAAUUCCGGGUGUAGUGGUGAAAUGCGUAGAGAUCCGGAGGAACACCAGAGGCGAAGGCGGCAACCUGGCUCGUUACUGACGCUCAUACACGACAGCAUGGGGAGCGAACGGG